GUUGUGCUGCACGCAGUGGCAAACAACAUCAGGCUGCGGCAGACGGAGGUUCUGAAGAGGGACUUCGCCAGUUUGAUCAAGACAGUACAAGGCAGAUCACCCACCACGAAGAUCAUCGUCUCUGGACCUCUUCCCUCAUACAGACGUGGAGCUGAAAAGUUCAGUAGACUUCUUGCUUUGAAUGACUGGUUAGUUUCUUGGUGUAAUGCAGGGGUUCCCAAACUUUUCCAGGGCAAGGCCCCCCAAAUGGCAUUAACAUUUGAUCGAAGCCCCCCUUUUGCAAGGUGUCUUUAAAACACAUUAAAAAUACGGACUUCUGAAUAUAUCCCCCUUUUUUUACGUUGAUGUUUUGUCUGUUUAGCAAUUAGAAAGUUAGGUAUAGCAAAUGUGAUUUUAAUAUGUAUUGGUACAAACAACAUGUUUUUAUAUAUUUAUAUAUAUAAAAUGUAUUUAUUUAUUUUUCAAACCAAAUUGUUGGGGCCCCCCUGGCGGCCCCCACUUUGAAAACCAUUGGUGUAAUGAACAGAAUUUGAUGCUUGCUAAUAACUGGAAUCUGUUCUGGGAGCGUCCUAGGUUCUUUCGUCCUGAUGGCCUGCACCCCAGCAGCCUCAGAGCGGAACUGCUGUCAGACAACAUCUCCAAGGUGCUACACACCAAGUGACUGCCUACCCGUGCUUACUUGAAGACAAUGAGGGGGAUCAGCAUCAGAGAGACAGUUCGCUCCAUUCUCCAAAGAAUCGGGGAGAACAGCCUGUGGUGUAUGUUUUCGUUGAAAGGGUCAAAAGGUGGGAAGCUGGCUUUGACUGAUCAUGAAGAAGUGUAUCACCUUGUACACUAUAUUGCAGAAGGAGCCCAUGGACGUGAAUAUACAGUUGCCAGUUGCAGAGAGGCCAUCGGCAGCUACCUAAAAAAUGCCCAGCCAGGAAAGGUGGCAAGAAACAUAAUGUCUAAAGGAGUGAAAACAACUGGAGAGGUUCGAGAACAACUGUGAAAGAUGGUGGAAGGUCGUCAGUGGUCUGUGUUCCCCAGAGGGAAAAAAGUAAGUAAGCAUGAGACUGAUAAAUUUACAGUGAAGUCCAUUGGGCUGAUUCUGUAAGCAGAUCUGGCAACCCUUUCCAUAGUAACUCCAUUUUAAUUAAAAGUUAUUUAUUGAAUGUUUUACACAUAAAAUGUUUUGACGUGUUAAGUUCUAUGACAGUAACUUCUCGGUUUAAUUUAUAAAUUCUAUAUUUUGAGAUCAUUUGCACCAUUUCCCUGCUGCAUUUAAACCCUGUGUCACACACAGUGUAUUUAGUUUGUGUUGGAGCUGCAGUUUGUGUGAUUAGUUACAGUGUUGUAGUAAAUUUCACAGUAAUUUUAGACACAUUGCAGUCGCAUCAAGUCACGUUUUGUGCUGCAGCUUCUCACAUACGUACAUCUGACCCAAAGACUCUGUGACAGAUCA